AGGAUGAAGAGUCAUCGUCCUCAUUCUAAGAGUUUGAGGUAGUGUCUAAGAAGUCUACAGUGGUCUGUAGAGCUGCAUCUGCUCUUCUGGCAUUGUCCCUGCCAACAGCCAUGCAGACUGGGGGCCAGAGCCAGGAGGAAAAUGAAGGGCCUGCAUUGAUACCACUGAGAACUCAGCCUUCAGGAACUGGUAAAUGACUUUUUUUAACCUCUGGAGAUAAACUGGACAGACUGGAGCCAGUAUCAAGACAGUCCUUCCAACUCUACUUUCCCAGCAACUAGUAGGUAAUGAAAACUGCCCCUUCUAUAGACCAAGAAUGUGUCUCUGAGGAUCUCCAAGCACCUUAUAAAUGUUUGGUUUCAUUUAGCAAUCCACAGCUCCAAGGAUAUGAAACCACCAGGGAAGCCCUCAGCACAUUUUCACAAGAAUCUGUUUUGAGUGAGUUUGAUUGCCAGUUCUUUCUCUGGAUGUGGAUAUCAUUCUUUCUCACAAGUUCCUCUGAAUUGUCCUGGGCCAUUGCAUUGCUGUCAGCUCAGCAUUGCAGAGCCAGUGGUUUUAUAGGAAGAAAUGAGCUAUAAUGCAAGGUCAUCUGAUUGAUUUCACAUUUCUUGUGUCAAAACCAUGAAAACACCAGGGAAGGAUUGGCCAGUGAAGCAUCAAUAUGUGCCAUAAAACAUGGAAGUUUCCAGAUAUGGAGUCAUCCAGAUAAGAGGAGGAUAAAGUUGCCAGAAUUGUUAAGAUAUACGUAGAGCAGAGGCAGCCUUAUGGUUCUCAAUGAGGCAAAAAACAAAAACAACAACAAAAAUGCUCAGAAUUUUUUGGCCUACCACACCACCAACCCACCUCUCACUUCAAAAUACAAACCCAAUAAAAACGUGUCCACUGAGACA
rnacentral:lncRNA from 1 species